rnacentral:rRNA from 1 species
UACAGAGGGUGCAAGCGUUAAUCGGAGUUACUGGGCGUAAGGGCGCGUAGGCGGCCUGGCAAGUGGAAGGUGAAAUCCCUCGGCUUAACCGAGGAACUGCCCUCCAAACUGCUUGGCUUGAGUCCGGGAGAGGUGAGUGGAAUUCCCAGUGUAGCGGUGAAAUGCGUAGAUAUUGGGAGGAACACCAGUGGCGAAGACGGCUCACUGGACCGGAACUGCGCUGAGGCGCGAAGCGUGGGGAGCAAACGG